AGAAAAGUCUACACAGCCGGGGGCCCUGCUCAGAAAGGCACUGCCUUUGUUUCAGAUGGGGAAGAAAGAAGAGGAAGAAGAGGAGGGGAGGAGAUGACACUAUAUGACAUCUUCAUUUUGAAGAAAAUUAAUGCUUGUCAGCCCAGUUUUGGUGCUUGGGACAAAGCAUUCUUUCGGGAAGAGUGGCGUGAUUCAACCAUUGGAGUGGACAUUUGGGAAAC